GUAGGUGGCAAGCGUUGUCCGGGAAUUAUUGGGGCGUAAAGCGCGCGCAGGCGGUUCGUUUAAGUCUGAUGUGAAAGCCCACGGGCUCAACCGUGGAGGGUCAUUGGAAACUGGAGAACUUGAGUACAGAAGAGGAAAGCGGAAUUCCACGUGUAGCGGUGAAAUGCGUAGAGAUGUGGAGGAACACCAGUGGCGAAGGCGGCUUUCUGGUCUGUAACUGACGCUGAGGCGCGAAAGCGUGGGGAGCAAACAGGAUUAGAUACCCUGGUAGUCCACGCCGUAAACGAUGAGUGCUAAGUGUUAGGGGGUUUCCGCCCCUUAGUGCUGCAGCUAACGCGUUAAGCACUCCGCCUGGGGAGUACGGCCGCAAAGGCUGA
rnacentral:rRNA from 1 species